UAGGGAAUUUUCCACAAUGGACGAAAGUCUGAUGGAGCAACGCCGCGUGCAGGAUGAAUGCCUUCGGGUUGUAAACUGCUUUUAUAUGUGAAGAUUAUGACGGUAGCAUAUGAAUAAGGAUCGGCUAACUCCGUGCCAGCAGCCGCGGUCAUACGGAGGAUCCAAGCGUUAUCCGGAAUUACUGGGCGUAAAGAGUUGCGUAGGUGGCAUGGUAAGUAAAUAGUGAAAGCGUUCGGCUCAACCGGAUAUACAUUAUUUAAACUGCUAAGCUAGAGGACAAGAGAGGUCACUGGAAUUCCCUGUGUAGGAGUGAAAUCCGUAGAUAUAGGGAGGAACACCGAUGGCGUAGGCAGGUGACUGGCUUGUUCCUGACACUAAGGCACGAAAGCGUGGGUAGCAAACGGG
rnacentral:rRNA from 1 species